CCACAAACAUCACAGAUGUGCAUAAGUCCCUUCCUUUUCUGUGGAAGAGAGCCCCUGGAGGAGGGACAUCACCCAGGCAUAACCACCUCAUGGAAAUCACCCAGGAAACUGCUUCUACUGAAUUGUGAAAAGACCCUGAAGAGGCCUGGCCCAAACAGGAAGAGGAGGAGGAGAACAGAGACAAGAGGUCUUGUUAAUGGAAGGAGCCAGGAGGCCCAGAAAGAUGUACAAGCUUCCCUUUUGGUCGUGAGAAGAUCAAAGUCCUUACGAUUUUGUUAAGGUGGAGUAACCUUUGAGAAGUGGAAGAGAAAGAAGGCAUCUUACAGUGAUGGGAAGCUGAUGAGCACACAUGCCCCAAUCUUGCCUCACGCCAUGGCCAAACUCGCUGACUGCCACGGGCAGGCUCAACUCACCCUGCUGUUAGCCCUGCUGCGGUGAAGGAGAAAACUGCUGUGGGCUGAGGACAGGGAAGGCCACUCUUGGGGCAGUGGUCAGCUGGCUCUCGUUUAUCUUUCUUUAUGGCUGAGUAGUACUCCAUUUUAUAGAAAAACCACAUCUUCAUAGCCAA